GACGAACGCUGGCGGUGUGCUUAACACAUGCAAGUCGAACGGUAAGGCCCUUUCGGGGGUCCACGAGUGGCGCACGGGUGAGUAACACGUGAGUAACCUGCCCUCAUCUCUGGGAUAACAGUCGGAAACGGUUGCUAAUACUGGAUAUGAGCUUGCAAGGCAUCUUGUGGGUUGGAAAGAUUUUUUUUGGUUGGGGGUGGACUCGCGGCCUAUCAGCUUGUUGGUGAGGUAGUGGCUCACCAAGGCUUCGACGGGUAGCCGGCCUGAGAGGGCGACCGGCCACAUUGGGACUGAGAUACGGCCCAAACUCCUACGGGAGGCAGCAAGGGGGAAUAUUGCACAAUGGACGGAAGUCUGAUGCAGCAACGCCGCGUGCGGGAUGACGGCCUUCGGGUUGUAAACCGCUUUCAAUUGUGACGAAGCUUUUUUGUGACGGUAGCAGUAGAAGAAGCACCGGCUAACUACGUG
rnacentral:rRNA from 1 species